rnacentral:rRNA from 1 species
CAGCAGCCGCGGGAAUACAGAGGGUGCGAGCGUUAAUCGGAUUUACUGGGCGUAAAGCGUGCGUAGGCGGCUUUUUAAGUCGGAUGUGAAAUCCCUGAGCUUAACUUAGGAAUUGCAUUCGAUACUGGGAAGCUAGAGUAUGGGAGAGGAUGGUAGAAUUCCAGGUGUAGCGGUGAAAUGCGUAGAGAUCUGGAGGAAUACCGAUGGCGAAGGCAGCCAUCUGGCCUAAUACUGACGCUUAGGUACGAAAGCAUGGGGAGCAAACAGGAUUAGAUACCCCGGUAGUCCCUGUCUCUUAUAC